rnacentral:rRNA from 1 species
GGAUUAGUGGCGAACGGGUGAGUAACACGUGGGCAAUCUGCCCUGUACUUUGGGAUAAGCCUGGGAAACUGGGUCUAAUACCGGAUAUCACUGACUCUCGCAUGGGGGUUGGUUGAAAGUUCUGGCGGUACAGGAUGAGCCCGCGGCCUAUCAGCUUGUUGGUGGGGUAAUGGCCUACCAAGGCGACGACGGGUAGCCGGCCUGAGAGGGUGACCGGCCACACUGGGACUGAGACACGGCCCAGACUCCUACGGGAGGCAGCAGUGGGGAAUAUUGCACAAUGGGCGAAAGCCUGAUGCAGCGACGCCGCGUGAGGGAUGACGGCCUUCGGGUUGUAAACCUCUUUCGCCAGGGACGAAGCGCAAGUGACGGUACCUGGAUAAGAAGCACCGGCUAACUACGUGCCAGCAGCCGCGGUAAUACGUAGGGUGCAAGCGUUGUCCGGAAUUAUUGGGCGUAAAGAGCUCGUAGGCGGUUUGUCGCGUCGUUCGUGAAAACUCCACGCUUAACGUGGAGCGUGCGGGCGAUACGGGCAGACUUGAGUUCGGUAGGGGAGACUGGAAUUCCUGGUGUAGCGGUGAAAUGCGCAGAUAUCAGGAGGAACACCGGUGGCGAAGGCGGGUCUCUGGGCCGAUACUGACGCUGAGGAGCGAAAGCGUGGGGAGCGAACAGGAUUAGAUACCCUGGUAGUCCACGCUGUAAACGUUGGGCGCUAGGUGUGGGCGACAUCCACGUUGUCCGUGCCGUAGCU